rnacentral:sRNA from 1 species
GAUGGGUUAUUAACAGACUUAUCCACAUUGUCCACAGGAAAACGGCUUUCAACAAGGAAUUUUUCGACAAGACAUUGUUGCCCUUCCGAAUCAGGAAACACUUGACAGAAAAGAAUCCGAGUGUUAAUAUAACAGCACUGUGAGUUCUUAUGGACUCUGGGAAAGUAUUUUGAAAGUGAGGAAUGUAGAUGCUCGGCAAGGUUAAGUGGUUCAAUGCAGAAAAGGGUUAUGGUUUUAUUGAAAGAGAAGAAGGCGGCGAUGUUUUCGUUCACUUCUCUGCCAUUCAGGAAGAAGGUUUCAAAAGCCUGGCGGAAGGUCAGGAAGUUGAAUUCGACAUCGUUGAAGGUGCCCGUGGUCCUCAGGCUGCUAACGUUGUAAAACGUUAAUUAUAUUGAUCAAACCACAAGCCCUGGUCUUAUGGACCGGGGUUUUAAA